GCUUGCUUUUGAUGGGCGUCGACCGGCGCACGGGUGAGUAACCGCGUAUCCCAACCUCGCCCACCACUUGGGGAUAACCUUGCGAAAGUAAGACUAAUACCCCAAUGAUAUCUCUAGAAGACAUCUGAAAGAGAUUAAAGAUUUAUCGGUGAUGGAUGGGGAUGCGUCUGAUUAGCUUGUUGGCGGGGUAACGGCCCACCAAGGCGACGAUCAGUAGGGGGUUCUGAGAGGAAGGUCCCCCACAUUGGAACUGAGACACGGUCCAAACUCCUACGGGAGGCAGCAGUGAGGAAUAUUGGUCAAUGGACGAGAGUCUGAACCAGCCAAGUAGCGUGCAGGAUGACGGCCCUAUGGGUUGUAAACUGCUUUUAUAAGGGAAUAAAGUGAGCCUCGUGAGGCUUUUUGCAUGUACCUUAUGAAUAAGGACCGGCUAAUUCCGUG
rnacentral:rRNA from 1 species